CCUACGGGUGGCAGCAGUGAGGAAUAUUGGUCAAUGGCCGGAAGGCUGAACCAGCCAAGUAGCGUGAGGGAAGACUGCCCUAUGGGUUGUAAACCUCUUUUAUGCGGGGAUAAAGGUGUCCACGUGUGGAUGUUUGCAGGUACCGCAUGAAUAAGGACCGGCUAAUUCCGGUCCAGCAGCCGCGGUAAUAAGGAAGGUCCGGGCGUUAUCCGGGUUUAGUGGGGUUAAAGGGAGCGUAGGCCGGUCUUUAAGCGUGCCGUGAAAUUUUGUGGCUUAACCAUGGGAGGGCGGCGAGAACUGGAGACCUUGAGUGCGCGGGAGGCAGGCGGAAUUCGUGGUGUAGCGGUGAAAUGCUUAGAUAUCACGAAGAACCCCGAUUGCGAAGGCAGCCUGCCGCAGCGUUACUGACGCUGAAGCUCGAAAGCGCGGGUAUCGAACAGGAUUAGAUACCCGUGUAGUC
rnacentral:rRNA from 1 species